AGUGAACGUUGGCGGCGUGGAUUAGGCAUGCAAGUCGAGCGAGAACCGUAGCAAUACGGGGACAGCGGCGAAAGGGACAGUAAUGUGUAGGUACCUACCUCCGGGUUCGGGAUAGCUGCGGGAAACUGCAGGUAAUACCGAAUAACGUCUCCGGACCAAAGGUGUGAUUCCACCUGGAGAGGGGCCUGCAUCCUAUUAGCUAGUUGGGGAGGUAGCGGCUCACCAAGGCAACGAUGGGUAGCGGGUGUGAGAGCACGACCCGCGUCAUUGGGACUGAGACACUGCCCAGACACCUACGGGUGGCUGCAGUCGAGGAUCUUCGGCAAUGGGCGCAAGCCUGACCGAGCGACGCCGCGUGCGGGAUGAAGGCCUUCGGGUUGUAAACCGCUGUCGUAGAGGAGGAAAUGCAGGGGGGUUCUCCCUUCUGUUUGACCUAUUCUGGGAGGAAGGACGGGCUAAGUUCGUGCCAGCCGCCGCCGUAA
rnacentral:rRNA from 1 species